rnacentral:lncRNA from 1 species
AGCAGCUUCCUCUGGCCAGCAUGGUGUCCACAGCCCAGAACCUGGCACUAGGAGAUUCCUGGAGAAAAUGGGUACCAAGUCCACAGGAAGAAGUAAGUUCUUGGAUAGAUCCAGUGCAAGGUCAGUUUGCCUUAGCAGAGCACCAGAGUUCAGCAAAAGAAUGAACAUGUUCUAAUGUCAAGAUCACUCACUUUGGGAGAAGCCAACCACCAUGCCAGUAGAUACUCGAGAUGCCCAACAAAAGUGACCACAUGGUGAGAAACUAAGGCCCCUUACCCAUAACCAGCACUAAUUCGCCAUGUAAGUCACCUUGGAAUUGGAUCCUCCAGCCUUGGUCUAGUCCUCAGAUGACUGCAACCACACACAGCUACCACGUUGACUGCAAUCUCAAAAAAAGAC